UACGUAGGGUGCGAGCGUUAAUCGGAAUACUGGCGUAAAGCGUGCGCAGGCGGUGAUGUAAGACAGGUGUGAAAUCCCCGGGCUUAACCUGGGAACUGCAUUUGUGACUGCAUCGCUGGAGUGCGGCAGAGGGGGAUGGAAUUCCGCGUGUAGCAGUGAAAUGCGUAGAUAUGCGGAGGAACACCGAUGGCGAAGGCAAUCCCCUGGGCCUGCACUGACGCUCAUGCACGAAAGCGUGGGAGCAAACAGG
rnacentral:rRNA from 1 species